UAGUAUCAGGCGCCAGCUGGCCUACGGUGAUAAGCGGCCCAGUGACAAGAGCUUUCUCUACAAGUGCUGGGGCACCGUGCUGAUGUUUUUUCCAGCAGAGAGCAUCAAGCCCCAGCUAUGGCUUCUGGUGGAGAUGGUCGAUUUCCGAGAAGAAGAGGAAAGAGAGGGAUUCGCCCGAGCGCUUGGGCUGUGUGCCAGGCAACAGCUAUAUGAGGUUUUCGCCAUCCUGGAGCACUGGGAAGAGUUUGUCA